AAGAUAUUAGUAAAAUAAUUACGUAACUUUGUCAAAGUUGAAUCAUAGACUAAACAUCUAUAUAUCUUA
rnacentral:tRNA from 1 species